rnacentral:rRNA from 1 species
GGGCGUAAAGCGCACGCAGGCGGUUUGUUAAGUCAGAUGUGAAAUCCCCGGGCUCAACCUGGGAACUGCAUCUGAUACUGGCAAGCUUGAGUCUCGUAGAGGGGGGUAGAAUUCCAGGUGUAGCGGUGAAAUGCGUAGAGAUCUGGAGGAAUACCGGUGGCGAAGGCGGCCCCCUGGACGAAGACUGACGCUCAGGUGCGAAAGCGUGGGGAGCAAACAGGAUUAGAUACCCUGGUAGUCCACGCCGUAAACGAUGUCGACUUGGAGGUUGUGCCCUUGAGGCGUGGCUUCCGGAGCUAACGCGUUAAGUCGACCGCCUGGGGAGUACGGCCGCAAGGUUAAAACUCAAAUGAAUUGACGGGGGCCCGCACAAGCGGUGGAGCAUGUGGUUUAAUUCGAUGCAACGCGAAGAACCUUACCUGGUCUUGACAUCCACGGAAGUUUUCAGAGAUGAGAAUGUGCCUUCGGGAACCGUGAGACAGGUGCUGCAUGGCUGUCGUCAGCUCGUGUUGUGAAAUGUUGGGUUAAGUCCCGCAACGAGCGCAACCCUUAUCCUUUGUUGCCAGCGGUCCGGCCGGGAACUCAAAGGAGACUGCCAGUGAUAAACUGGAGGAAGGUGGGGAUGACGUCAAGUCAUCAUGGCCCUUACGACCAGGGCUACACACGUGCUACAAUGGCGCAUACAAAGAGAAGCGACCUCGCGAGAGCAAGCGGACCUCAUAAAGUGCGUCGUAGUCCGGAUUGGAGUCUGCAACUCGACUCCAUGAAGUCGGAAUCGCUAGUAAUCGUGGAUCAGAAUGCCACGGUGAAUACGUUCCCGGGCCUUGUACACACCGCCCGUCACACCAUGGGAGUGGGUUGCAAAAGAAGUAGGUAGCUUAACCUUCGGGAGGGCGCUUACCACUUUGUGAUUCAUGACUGGGGUGAAGUCGUAACAAGGUAACCGUAGGGGAACCUGCGGUUGGAUCACCUCCUUACCUUAAAGAAGC